rnacentral:rRNA from 1 species
UACGGAGGGUGCAAACGUUGCUCGGAAUCAUUGGGCGUAAAGCGCACGUAGGCGGAUCUUUAAGUCAGGGGUGAAAUCCCAAGGCUCAACCUUGGAACUGCCUUUGAUACUGGGGAUCUCGAGUCCGGAAGAGGUUGGUGGAACUGCGAGUGUAGAGGUGAAAUUCGUAGAUAUUCGCAAGAACACCAGUGGCGAAGGCGGCCAACUGGUCCGGUACUGACGCUGAGGUGGCGAAAGCGUGGGGAG